GACGAAGGGGGCUAGCGUUGUUCGGAAUUACUGGGCGUAAAGCGCGUGUAGGCGGUUGUUCAAGUCGGGUGUGAAAGCCUUGAGCUCAACUCAAGAAAUGCACUCGGUACUGGAUGACUAGAGGACCGGAGAGGAUAGUGGAAUUCCCAGUGUAGUGGUGAAAUACAUAGAGAUUGGGAAGAACACCAGUGGCGAAGGCGGCUAUCUGGACGGUUUCUGACGCUAAGACGCGAAAGCGUGGGGAGCAAACAGG
rnacentral:rRNA from 1 species